rnacentral:rRNA from 1 species
UACGGAGGAUGCGAGCGUUAUCCGGAUUUAUUGGGUUUAAAGGGUGCGCAGGCGGAUUUUUAAGUCAGCGGUGAAAUACCGAUGCUCAACAUCGGGGCUGCCGCUAAUACUGUAGGACUAGAGAUCGGAUGCAGCAGGCGGAAUGUGUAGUGUAGCGGUGAAAUGCAUAGAUAUUACACAGAACACCGAUUGCGAAGGCAGCUUGCUAGGCCGGAUCUGACACUGAUGCACGAAAGCGUGGGGAUCGAACAGG